GUUUACGGUUUCCUAAGAUUGGGGCAUUGUUUUUGCGCUAAAAAUGAUUUUUUUUAUUUAUUUUCAUUAAACUCUCGGUUAUUUGGAUUGCGACCAUAAAUACAGGGAAACCCAGGGUUUAAAUCGAAGAAUUCAGGACCUUCCUGCUACGUUCUUUACAUACAUGUGGACGACGUGUUCAUUUACUAAAACAUUAGGGACUCUUUUUCAAACAUGCCACGACGAAAGGGUACAGGUCGAUUUCGGCCAUCCGACCAGAACCAAACGCUAGGAUUAAACGUUACCUAAAGUGAACCGGUACGCAUCUGCCGCCCUCGGAGUGAGGAUCAACGACCCAGAUUUUAAGACUCUUGAUCCAUUCUAAUCCGCCCGAUCUUAAAUCAACGCGCUGGAUCACUCCACCGAAACGGUACAUGGAAUUCUAAUCGUGACUGUUUCCCAUAGAUCCAACGGUCAGAACAUGCCCGCCACUCCGACGCCGUGACCCGGUGGCGCCCAAGCACCAGCACCAUGGCCAGCGUUCAUCCCCAUCCCGAUUCCUGUGCCUAAACUCCAAUUCGAAUGCAGUGGCGAGUAGCGGUAAAGGUAGUGUAUUGCCAAGAAAGAUGCUCACCGAGAUUCAGAGAGUGCCCAGAUCCUCCGAGGGUGCUCGACGGAACACGACGUCCGACGAUGAAUUCCGGUCCCCGCAGCGGCUGACCCCUCCCCAAUCGGCCACGAGCGCUUCACCAGCAACACCACGAGGCUCCCAAACUUGCUGCAGAUCCUCAUUCGUGGGUCGUGGACGAGGUCGGCGCUAGCGGUGCUCCCUGCUCUCAGCUCACCUCUGCUCUGCCGCUUGGGUUCGGUUUUGGCUCUG
rnacentral:lncRNA from 7 species